UGCUUACAACAUAGCGUUAAUGCAUCGUAUUCCAUUAGAAAUAUGUAGCUAAUCAUGCUCGAGCUAGAGUAGUACUAGGAUGGGUGACCUCUUGGGAAGUCCUAGUGUUUUCAAUGC
rfam:Picea glauca, whole genome shotgun sequence.